AAGAAGAUACCAGGUUGCAUAAUCCAUCACCAAACCCCCCAAAAAAGCCAGGUCCACCCCAGAAACCACCGCCACCCCAUGGCCCCCCAGGCCCGGGGCCCCAGCCACCAGGUCCUCCAGGUCCCGGGCCUCCCCAGCCACCAGGUCCUCCAGGUCCAGGGCCUCCCCAGCCACCAGGUCCUCCAGGCCCAGGGCCUCCCCAGCCACCUCCUCCUGGCCCUCCACCUCCACCGCCAGGUCCGCCAGGUCCGCCAGGUCCGCCAGGUCCCAUAACUAACCCUUUAUCUCAGAGUGCCAACUGCCCAGCAAAAGAGAAGAGAACCUUCAAGUCUGGAGGUGUAGCUGAAUCUGAUGAUCCUAGUAAAAACAGAAAACCAAAGCCGAACUAAACAAGUUUAGUUGAAUGUAUAUAAACAAAAAAU
rnacentral:lncRNA from 1 species